GACUCCUUCUUCUUCUUCUUGAAAUGUAUUAGCGGUGUGAAGAAAAAACAACGACGACGACGACUCCCCCAAGCUCGGCCCGUGAAUGUUUUUUUUUCCUCCAGAUGUGAUGAACAGGUCUGGGGUAUGCUCCGUGGAACAGCCUGUCUCAAAAAGCAUUGCGGGCCAGACAUACUCCAUUGUGCAAGAAAGGAUCAAACACACAUCUCCAGUCUGGUGCCUUCUCAUAACCUCCCCUACUGUAAAACUCAAAUGAGUCGGAGCUGAAACGUGAUGAAAUAAACCCUGAUGUGUACAUUAAGUCUCUCGCUGCGCUGAGAGGAACUUGAUCCGGAUUAGCUGUGGAAGAAGUCAUUGCAGGCCACUGUGAGGGCGCCCAUCAGGAUGAUGAACUCUGUGAAGUCCACCUCGCCGUCGUUAUUGGCGUCCAGGAUUACAAAACUGCACAGGCUUGUCAGAACUUGCACAUGAGGGUAUAAAUGUGCAUACCUCUUCUUGUGUCACACAUGUUUGCAAAUGCGCUCUAUCUUUUUCUUCACAACCAUA